ensembl:lncRNA
CUGACGUGUUGCUGGGAAUUGAACUUGGGUCUUCUGGGAAAGCAGCCAGUGCCCCUAAUCAAUGAGUCAUCACCUCUCUAGCCCUCACCAUUUUACAUUUUUUUUUUUUGGUGUCACAUUUCUAGCUGGAAGAUUAGGGGUUAACUUCAAAACAAAACAGAAACAAAAUGAACAACAACAACAACAACAGCAGCAGCAGCAGCAGCAGCAACAACAGCAACAAACCCUCCAGAAUUUUCAAUGUUCCAUUUGACCUGGAGGAAUAGAGAGAAUCCUGACAUUGAGGUCAUGAAACUGUGCUUUGGAAUUUCUGCCCAGAUGCUGUUGUCUUUAUCUACAAUAUCAAAGAAUCCUCAGCCCUUCAAAAGCCAGAGUUUCUGACCUUGAAGAGGAAUCUGCCCAUGACAACUGCACACCUUGGUACUGACAUGGAUCUGGGUUUUAGAACAUCCCUUUCUUUAAAGGAUUCACCACCUCAUACUUUGGAAGGUGGCACUCCGAUUGGAUAGAAGUUUGAGCCAAAAGUUGGAUGCAUAAUUCAACUAUUUAUAAACAUAUUUGAGACAAAUGGCGGCAGGGAGAUUCCAUCCAAUGCUACUACAAAGAAAGAGGGCCUGAAUUUUUAAGGUCUGGUUUCCUCUCAAGAAGGUGGAGCAGACACUGACCCAUCUUUACCAUUUAGCUUGAAGAGGACUGAGAGCCUAUGACAAUUCUUCCCAGACUCCCUCAUCCUGAAAAAUGAACACAUUUGAAGAAUAUUACAG